rnacentral:lncRNA from 1 species
UUCUUUGCAUUCUUGAAGAGUGAUCUUACUUUCAAUCCCGGUACGCAAGUCAUUCAAGUUUCAAGAUGCAAGGAUUAACAUAGUAACCACUACAACCAACAACGGUAUCUUUAACAGCACCGAAUAACAGGGAAUUUACCAGAUAUCAUGUAAUAUUGUCGGAUACGAUACCCAUGUGUUUUAACUAUAUGAUUACAGUUAACGGAGCCAUACAACUUUGGGAAACACAAGCAGUGGAGGAUCGUAUAACUCUCAAACCUCAACAGUUUCUGAUGAAUCUGAAGAAAGGGGACCGAGUGUUAUGUGGAACAUCGAGGUGGAUCCCAGGAAAGCUCACGCUAAACACCAAUACUUAUUUUUCUGGAUAUU